GAAGAAAUUAGGGUGCUUUCGAGACCCGACUCUCAUUAUCAUUACCCUGUGCAUUACACUUUUUUUUAAAUUUAAACACUAUCAAGUCUUGAAUGUAAUCAGCUUGUUUUGAACAAGUAAAUAACAAAAUAAAACUUUCAGCAACGGAUCUCUUGGCUCU
rnacentral:misc_RNA from 1 species